rnacentral:rRNA from 1 species
UACAGAGGUCUCAAGCGUUGUUCGGAUUCAUUGGGCGUAAAGGGUGCGUAGGUGGCGUCGUAAGUCAGGUGUGAAAUCUCGGAGCUUAACUCCGAAACUGCAUUUGAUACUGCGGUGCUUGAGGACUGGAGAGGAGACUGGAAUUUACGGUGUAGCAGUGAAAUGCGUAGAGAUCGUAAGGAAGACCAGUGGCGAAGGCGGGUCUCUGGACAGUUCCUGACACUGAGGCACGAAGGCCAGGGGAGCGAACGGG